UUGAUACGAUUCGGCUCGGCUCGCUCUCCCCCUUUGUGACGUACCUCUGUUGCUUUGGCGGCUCCGGCCGCCAAAGGACCUCCAAACUCCAGUCAGUAAACGCAGACGUCUGAUAAACAAGUUAAUAAACUAAAACUUUCAACAACGGAUCUCUUGGUUCUGGCAUCGAUGAAGAACGCAGCAACUGCAGCAGGCCACCA
rnacentral:rRNA from 1 species